CUCAGGCAUGUUGCUCAUACCCUGCUUUGUCACAUGCUGCUCAGAGCUCAACCAGUCCCGGCUGUGGCCGAUGAUACCAGGGCUGGGCUACGCCACUAACCUGGUGAGAUACGGCAGGAGGAACCCCAGCAGGUGAAAAGGGCACUUUAGUCAGCAUGAUGUUGAGUGCUGGUUGAGCAACACGCCGGGAAGGAGAGGAGCCAGCAUCACUUCUGAUGACACACGAUACUCCCAACAACAAGGCAGAGGUGGCUACAUGCUCCAGCUCAAAGACGUCACACAGAAGUCGGCCCAGUGCUCCCCUUCACACGGCAGUGAGUUCUUGGAGGUGGGUGAGGUGGAUGUGAGGUGGGUGAUGAUGUAGUAUUGCUCCUAAUUUACUUCACAGGCUUCUUCUCCACUUCCACCCUAUGUCUCUCAGUUUCUAAGCCCAAGUUUUGUAAGUGUGCAGAUUUUCUCUGUUCCUAUUACAUUUCGAUUUGCAUGCAAACCACUGCACACAGAACCAUUACAAACUAUUUACAUACAUAAUACAUGAAAUUCCUCCACUGCGUCUUCAUGACCUUGAUUGCUAUCUGUCCUGUUUCUCUUACACAAUUUGAAUUGGUAAGCCAUAUUUUUCAUGCUCCAAAUAUUUUGCCUUGCCUAAUCCUUAGGUAUUAUUUUUUCAUUAAGGCAUUUGGAGUCCCAGCCUGUAAUUGACAUGUGCUUUUGAGACGAAUUUACUCAAGGCAAAAUGGAAAAUUCUGAUUUGCAGAUCAAGUAAUAUUUCACCUGUAGCACCAGGCACAUCAAAUUAAAUACGGGAGAGACAUUUCUUUUCCAGGCUGUGUUCCAAAACUCGUUGCACGCCCUGCUCCAAUUGGGAAUUCUGUGCCAGGGAGCAAGCAAAACCUAGACAGUUAUUCUCUUGAAACAGGAUCGUUUAUAUUAAGAAUAAAUGAACGUACAUCCGAGAUGAGCA
ensembl:lncRNA